AGGCCAUGGUGGGGACAAAGUCUAAGCAUUUUCCUUGAAACGCUCCCACGCCUCAUAGAGAGACUCCCCAUCUUUUUGAUUGAAACGCGUAAUUUGGUCUCUAAGCUU
rnacentral:snoRNA from 1 species